GAGGCACAGGUGUGCACAGGUGAGGCACAGGUGUGCCAGGUGUGCUCAGGUGUGCGCAGGUGUGAGCAGGUGAGGCACAGGUGUGCACAGGUGAGGCACAGGUGUGCCAGGUGUGUGCGCAGGUGAGGCACAGGUGUGCGCAGGUGUGCCAGGUGUGCACAGGUGAGGCACGGACAGGUG